rnacentral:rRNA from 1 species
UACGUAGGGCGCAAGCGUUGUCCGGAAUUAUUGGGCGUAAAGAGCUCGUAGGCGGCUAGUCGCGUCGGCUGUGAAAACCUGGGGCUCAACCCCGGGCCUGCAGACGAUACGGGCUAGCUAGAAUUCGGUAGGGGAGACUGGAAUUCCUGGUGUAGCGGUGAAAUGCGCAGAUAUCAGGAGGAACACCGGUGGCGAAGGCGGGUCUCUGGGCCGAUAUUGACGCUGAGGAGCGAAAGCGUGGGGGGCGAACAGG